UCAAGAGCAGACAUUCAAAAACUGAGUCUGGGACGCUUUCUGAUUCUCGAGCUUCCUCCUUGCAAAGCUCAGGCACAUCACAGACGCUGUGACGCUGCCAUGAUCUUCGGUUACCUCUUCCAAACAACUUCACUGUUGCCGUUUCCCGGCUGUGUGCCGCUGCCUAUGCCAUUCUUUAUGGUGCAGAUUUGCCGUAUUCUCAACGAUCUGUGUUUAUUAUUCCUCUUUUUUUUCUAGAAAAGUUUUAUUCAUCCCUGAUGAAUGCCUACUAACUUUUAAGCACUCACACAGAGAGUUCCAAUGUCUUCCUGGUGAUGCAGAAGUGACUCUAUGUGAUGAUCCUUUCCAGUUUUCUUGAGAUACCUAGGAACAUUGACUGCUUCUGUUCAGAAGCUCAACUGACUCAAAGAAGCAUAUGAAGAGGAGUCCAGGCACCUAAUCCGCAGUCCUGGCUGAAUUCCUAAUUGCCGUCUAGGACCUUGAGUGUACCAUUGUGAAAGUGGAUCUUCAGAUGAGUCACCUUGAUGUACCACAGGGCAGUGAUGACUGUUUCUCCUAAACGACACACAUGCGAGCACACUACAUGAUGCUUCUUUUCAGUUGCUCAUUUUAGUUUAGAUGGUCAUAAAUAAGCAGCCUGUGUUGCACACGAAGUUCAGAUAACAAAGUUUUAAUUUACAAGUCAUACAUACUAUGUUAUCAUCUUUGCUUCAGAGAUGAGAAUAUAGUGUUUAGGUUGAUCUCAGAUGUACAGCUACUGUGUGCAUUUAGCUGGAAAAGGAUAGCUGGAAGAGAGAUCUCUGGGUCUGACAUGAGAAUACACUGGUUGGAAGUCUAUUUCUGUAACUUACUAGUAGGUGAAUCUUAGCAAAAGGCUUAGCUUCCCUAAAUCUGGCUCAUUUCCCUUUUAAGUCUGACUAGAAUUAAUAAGCCUAUGUUAACCUUUCUUUUCUCAUUCAUUCAUUCAUUCAUUCUUGCAUCCAUUUUCACUUAUUUACCAAUGAUUUAUAGAUAAACUGUAUCAAACUGUGUAAGCAGUCAGAAAAUAAAGAUAUGAUACCUGUUUUCUUCUCUUCAUGGAGUCUUCAUAGUUUACUAUGAAAUUAAUGGAAUUAAUGUAUAAUGAAUACAUUGCAAACAGUUCAAUAAAUAUCAUCUUAUGAAUUAGUACAGGGUUGCAUUGUGACAACAGGAGACAUCAGUCAGCUCUGCCUUUGGGUAAUGGGGGAUAGCUCACAGAAUGAGAAACAUCAGAUCUGUGUCUCAAAAGGUGAGUAGACAUCAGCAGGUGGAUAAAGAUCAACAAGGUGUUUCAGACUGGAGAGCAACACAGAGUUAUAAGCACACAAGAAAGCAAGUGUCUGUAGCUAACUGUAAGAACUUGGAAGCUAGAGAGUGACAAACAAGCUUAAAGGCAGCCCAAGGGCAGCUUUGGAGAGCUUCGUGCACUAUGUAGAGGAGGUUGGAUGUUGUACGUACUGGUAAAGGGAACCACCAACGGAAUUAGAUUGUGCCAGGAACAGGCUUGAGUUGAAAUUUAGAAAGCACCGGAACAACAGAGAACAGGGAGAGCAGAAGGGGAAUGCAAAGCAGGAUGCUUGCAAUCUGUGCCGCAUGCACCUUCAAAAGCUCAAUAGAGGGUUGAUGGAGGUCUGAGCCAGGGUAGGAGCAAGGGGUAAAGGGGGAGCUGUUUGUGUCAGACAUAUUUAAGGGACAGAAAAGACAGAAUUUCAAACCAGGCCCUUGAACAGAUGCAAAGAUCCAGUCCAAUCCUCUAUGCUCAAUGAUAAAACACCCACUCUGCAAAUAUUUAACUCUGAGAUUUGUAUCACAAAAUAUCUUAUAUACAAUCCCCAAAGAAAGCAUAUAAAAUGCACUUU